rnacentral:lncRNA from 1 species
GUGAAUACGAUGUGUACUUCCUAUGAGCAUAGCUUAGGACGAAUUAAUGAGAGGACGUUUGCAAAGUCGAGCGUGCAGCUUCGGUCUCUGUCUCAACGAACUUCUACACCUUCGUCUGCUCUACAUCCUGCUGUCCCUGGAUCUUCACGUCCUCCUGUGGAUGUUUCUGAGGAGGAAGUGUCCGUGUCGUCUAUGUAUCGCG